rnacentral:rRNA from 1 species
AGACCCGAAACCCGGUGAUCUAGCCAUGGGCAGGUUGAAGGUUGGGUAACACUAACUGGAGGACCGAACCGACUAAUGUUGAAAAAUUAGCGGAUGACCUGUGGCUGGGGGUGAAAGGCCAAUCAAACCGGGAGAUAGCUGGUUCUCCCCGAAAGCUAUUUAGGUAGCGCCUCGUGAAUUCAUCUCCGGGGGUAGAGCACUGUUUCGGCUAGGGGGCCAUCCCGGCUUACCAACCCGAUGCAAACUGCGAAUACCGGAGAAUGUUAUCACGGGAGACACACGGCGGGUGCUAACGUCCGUCGUGAAGAGGGAAACAACCCAGACCGCCAGCUAAGGUCCCAAAGUCAUGGUUAAGUGGGAAACGAUGUGGGAAGGCCCAGACAGCCAGGAUGUUGGCUUAGAAGCAGCCAUCAUUUAAAGAAAGCGUAAUAGCUCACUGGUCGAGUCGGCCUGCGCGGAAGAUGUAACGGGGCUAAACCAUGCACCGAAGCUGCGGCAGCGACACUAUGUGUUGUUGGGUAGGGGAGCGUUCUGUAAGCCUGUGAAGGUGGCCUGUGAGGGUUGCUGGAGGUAUCAGAAGUGCGAAUGCUGACAUAAGUAACGAUAAAGCGGGUGAAAAGCCCGCUCGCCGGAAGACCAAGGGUUCCUGUCCAACGUUAAUCGGGGCAGGGUGAGUCGACCCCUAAGGCGAGGCCGAAAGGCGUAGUCGAUGGGAAACGGGUUAAUAUUCCCGUACUUGGUGUUACUGCGAAGGGGGGACGGAGAAGGCUAUGUUGGCCGGGCGACGGUUGUCCCGGUUUAAGCGUGUAGGCUGGUUUUCCAGGCAAAUCCGGAAAAUCAAGGCUGAGGCGUGAUGACGAGGCACUACGGUGCUGAAGCAACAAAUGCCCUGCUUCCAGGAAAAGCCUCUAAGCAUCAGGUAACACGAAAUCGUACCCCAAACCGACACAGGUGGUCAGGUAGAGAAUACCAAGGCGCUUGAGAGAACUCGGGUGAAGGAACUAGGCAAAAUGGUGCCGUAACUUCGGGAGAAGG